UACGAAGGGGGCUAGCGUUGCUCGGAAUCACUGGGCGUAAAGGGCGCGUAGGCGGACUUUUAAGUCGGGGGUGAAAGCCCAGGGCUCAACCCUGGAACUGCCUUCGAUACUGGGAGUCUUGAGUUCGGAAGAGGUUGGUGGAACUGCGAGUGUAGAGGUGAAAUUCGUAGAUAUUCGCAAGAACACCGGUGGCGAAGGCGGCCAACUGGUCCGAUACUGACGCUGAGGCGCGAAAGCGUGGGGAGCAAACAGG
rnacentral:rRNA from 1 species